rnacentral:rRNA from 1 species
UACGGGGGGGGCAAGCGUUGUUCGGAAUUACUGGGCGUAAAGGGCUCGUAGGCGGCCAACUAAGUCAGACGUGAAAUCCCUCAGCUUAACUGGGGAACUGCGUCUGAUACUGGAUGGCUUGAGUUCGGGAGAGGGAUGCGGAAUUCCAGGUGUAGCGGUGAAAUGCGUAGAUAUCUGGAGGAACACCGGUGGCGAAGGCGGGUCUCUGGGCCGAUACUGACGCUGAGGAGCGAAAGCGUGGGGAGCGAACAGG